GAUGAAGAACGCAGCGAAAUGCGAUACGUAAUGUGAAUUGCAGAAUUCAGUGAAUCAUCGAAUCUUUGAACGCAUAUUGCGCUCUCUGGUAUUCCGGAGAGCAUGCUUGUUUGAGUAUCAGUAAACACCUCAACUUCCAUAUCUUUUUUUGAAAUGGGAGUUGGACUUGAGUGAUCCCAACGCUUUUCCUCACCGAAAAGUGGCGGGUUACUUGAAAUGCAGGUGCAGCUGGACUUUGCUCUGAGCUAUAAGCAUAUCUAUUUAGUCUGCCUAAAAAACAGAUUAUUACCUUUGCUGCAGCUAACAUAAAGGAGAUUAGUUCUUGUGCUGACUGAUGCAGGAUUCACAAAGACAGCUUCGGCCGACUUUGUAAACUCGAUCUCAAAUCAAGUAAGACUACCCGCUGAACUUAAGCAUAUCAAUAAGCGGAGGA
rnacentral:misc_RNA from 1 species